rnacentral:rRNA from 1 species
UGCUCCCUGAUGUUUGCGGCGGACGGGUGUAGUAACACGUGGGUAACCUGCCUGUAAGACUGGGAUAACUCCGGGAAACCGGGGCUAAUACCGGAUGGUUGUUUGAACCGCAUGGUUCAAACAUAACCUUUGGCUUCGGCUACGGCUUACAUAUGAACCCGCGGCGCAUUAGCUAGUUGGUGAGGUAAUGGCUCACCAAGGCAACGAUGCGUAGCCGACCUGAGAGGGUGAUCGGCCACACUGGGACUGAGACACGGCCCAG